UACGGGGGGGCAAGCGGUUGUUGCGGAAUUACUGGGCGUAAAGGGGUUUGUAAGGUGGCCCGCUAAGUCACACGUGAAAUCCCUCAGCUUAACUGGGGAACUGCGUGUGAGACUGGCAGGCUCGAGGGCAGGAGAGGAACGCGGAAUUCCAGGUGUAGCGGUGAAAUGCGUAGAUAUCUGGAGGAACACCGGUGGCGAAGGCGGCGUUCUGGACUGUCUCUGACACUGAAGAACGAAAGCCAGGGAGCAAACGGG
rnacentral:rRNA from 1 species